UCGGCGCCCGCACCGGCUCUCCGCCCGCCCGCCCGCACGCGGGAGCGCGGGCACCCAGCGCCGGCUGAGCGGGGGCGCUGGGCCUCGCAGGCUCGAGAUGCCGGGCUGGGGGCGGCGCCCCGAUCCCAUCCCUCCGCCUGGAUCCCGCUCCCGGCCUCUAACUCUCUAAGGCUGGGGUGGGGCGGGGGCGCGGGGGACCGGUGACAGCUGCGGGAUGCGGUGCGCGAGCGUGAGUCACGCGGUGGUUGGGAUGUUGGGCUGAUUCCAUGGGGUUCUGCCCAGGCGUGGGUGCCGGUAGAACCCUGCCUGAUUCAGGAGCCCGGGUUCCAGGCCUGGCUCUGGGAUGACGAGCCCUAUGACCUUGAACUGGUCAGGAACUUUCUUUCCUGGGCCUCAAUUUACGGGUCAGGAAAAAAACCAAAUCUUUCUUGCAUUUAAUCCACAUGAAUGGAUAGCAUAUUGCCAGGCCAGGUGGACACAGGAAUGAGGACCAUGGUUUAUAUCCUCAAAGAGCUCUGGGUCUGGUGGGGUAAGACAGAAAGCUGGACUGUCCUAACACAGGGAGUGGGGUGUGCAUAGGGAAACUGUGGGUGCAGGGAGGUGGGCACCCUGGGAAGAGGGGUUUUGUAGGAUUUCUUGGAGGGGGUGCAGGCCAAGAUGGAAAGGCAAAUGUAAGUGGGCGGGAAGAAGGGAAAUCGUUCCAUGGAGAGAGGAGGGCUGCGGUGAGGAGACCAGAAGUGAGAGCUGCCUGGUGCUGCGGACAGCAGAGCUCCUGCGCGCAAGGAAGCAGGGAAAAUUCCAGACGGAUACAGAGCUAAGAGGCUGGAGAAGUCCGCAGCCUUGGGAGUCGAGCUAAGGAGCUGGACUUUAAAAGAAGAUAAUGAAGAGAGGGCUGGGCUGAAGACGGAGAGAGAGCUGGGGUCCUAGAGGACGGAAGACGAGAGCCUGAGUGGGCUCCCCCAGACUGAGUGUGCAGAGUGCAGUGGGAAGGGGGCUGACAACCCCCAACCCCAGUUCGUGUACGACCUCCAACAUACAAAUCUCCAAGUCACCCUUUAGGACUACAGCGCUGGAGCUAGGGAACCAAGGAAGAAUUCCAGGUCUUCAGGGAACAGAGAAAUAGUCAUGGAAGAUGGCAAAGGACAAACUCAGCAUAAUUGCUCUCCCACAAAUUAUCCCUGCAAGCCUUCCUUCUGAUGGCUUCCCUCAGCUUGAACUCUGGCAGUUUGGGACCCAGCUCAGGCUGCCUCGCCUGUGUUCUGCCCCUCAAUCCCAUCCCCUUCCCCCAGCUCAUUCAACUCUGACCUUAAAAUCUUCCCUCCCAGGACUUCCCUGGUGGUCCAGUUGUUCAGAAUCCACCUUCCUAUGCAGGGGACGCGGGUUGGCUCCCUGGUCAGGGAAGUAAGAUCCCACAUGUUGCGUGUGCCACAACUAAGACCCAGCACAGCCAGAUAAAUAAACUAAAUGCAUAGAUAUUAAAAUAAA